GACGAACGCUGGCGGCGUGCUUAACACAUGCAAGUCGAACGGUGAAGCGCCUUCCUUUUUGGUGGGUGUGGAUGAGUGGCGAACGGGUGAGUAACACGUGAGUAACCUGCCCCCUUCUUCUGGAUAACCGCAUGAAAGUGUGGCUAAUACGGGAUAUUCUGGGUCUGUCGCAUGAUGGGUCUGGGAAAGAUAUUGUUUCGGUGGGGGAUGGGCUCGCGGCCUAUCAGCUUGUUGGUUGGGUGAUGGCCUACCAAGGCGGUGACGGGUAGCCGGCCUGAGAGGGUGGAGGGGCACACUGGGAGUGAGACACGGCCCAGACUCGUACGGGAGGCAGCAGUGGGGAAUAUUGGACAAUGGGCGGAAGCCUGAUGCAGCGACGGCGCGUGAGGGAUGGAGGACUUCGGGUUGUGAACCUCUUUCGCCAGUGAAGCAGGGCUGCCUCGUUUGUGGGUGGGUUGACGGUAGCUGGAUAAGAAGCGCCGGCUAACUACGUG
rnacentral:rRNA from 1 species